GCCAAUAUAAUAGUAUAGUGGUUAUUUUGUCCGCACUUUAAAUUGUUAAUUCGCGCGAAGGUCGCCGGUUCAAUUCUCACUGCUGGCA